GACGAACGCUGGCGGCGUGCCUAAUACAUGCAAGUCGAACGGUUUAGUUCCAAGAGGCUUGCCUUUUGGAACUAGACAGCGGCGGACGGGUGAGUAACACGUAGGCAACCUACCUGUCAAACCGGGAUAACCUCGGGAAACCGAAGCUAAACCCGGAUAAGCUCCUUUUUCGCAUGAAGGGGGAGUGAAAAGGUGCGACCUGAUGACAGAUGGGCCUGCGGCGCAUUAGCUAGUAGGUAGGGUAACGGCCUACCUAGGCGAUGAUGCGUAGCCGACCUGAGAGGGCGUACGGCCACACUGGGACUGAGAUACGGCCCAGACUCCUACGGGAGGCAGCAGUAGGGAAUCUUCGGCAAUGGGCGAAAGCCUGACCGAGCAACGCCGCGUGAGUGAGGAAGGCCUUCGGGUUGUAAAACUCUGUUGUUUGGGAAGAAGGGAAAGGGUAGGACCCUUAGGUGACGGUACCAAACGAGAAAGCCCCGGCUAACUACGUG
rnacentral:rRNA from 1 species